GAGUGCUUGCACUCAAUUGGAAAGAGGAGUGGCGGACGGGUGAGUAACACGUGGGUAACCUACCCAUCAGAGGGGGAUAACACUUGGAAACAGGUGCUAAUACCGCAUAACAGUUUAUGCCGCAUGGCAUAAGAGUGAAAGGCGCUUUCGGGUGUCGCUGAUGGAUGGACCCGCGGUGCAUUAGCUAGUUGGUGAGGUAACGGCUCACCAAGGCCACGAUGCAUAGCCGACCUGAGAGGGUGAUCGGCCACACUGGGACUGAGACACGGCCCAGACUCCUACGGGAGGCAGCAGUAGGGAAUCUUCGGCAAUGGACGAAAGUCUGACCGAGCAACGCCGCGUGAGUGAAGAAGGUUUUCGGAUCGUAAAACUCUGUUGUUAGAGAAGAACAAGGACGUUAGUAACUGAACGUCCCCUGACGGUAUCUAACCAGAAAGCCACGGCUAACUACGUGCCAGCAGCCGCGGUAAUACGUA
rnacentral:rRNA from 1 species